rnacentral:rRNA from 1 species
CAUGCAUGUCUAAGUACAAGCCUCAGUAAGGUGAAACCGCGAAUGGCUCAUUAAAUCACACCUAAUCUACUGGAAAGUUACUAGUUACUUGGAUAACUGAGGUAAUUCUUGAGCUAAUACAUGCGAAAAAUCUCGACUCACGGAGAGAUGCUUUUAUUAGAUCAAAACCAAACGGCUUCGGCCGUCUCAUUGGUGACUCUGAAUAACUUUGGGCUGAUCGUAUGGCCUUGUGCCGACGACGUUUCCUUCGAAGGUGUGCCCUAUCAACUGUCGACUGUGAUAUAGACGCUCACAGUGGUUUUGACGGGUAACGGGGAAUCAGGGUUCGAUUCCGGAGAGGGAGCCUUAAAAACGGCUACCACAUCCAAGGAAGGCAGCAGGCACGCAAAUUACCCAAUGAACGAAGUUCGAGGUAGUGACGAAAAAUAACGAUACAGGACUCAUCCGAGGCCCUGUAAUUGGAAUGAGUACACUUUAAAACCGUUCCCGAGGAUCUAUUGGAGGGCAAGUCUGGUGCCAGCAGCCGCGGUAAUUCCAGCUCCAAUAGCGUAUAUUAAAGUUGUUGUGGUUAAAAAGCUCGUAGUUGGAUCUCGGCGGACAGGAGUCGGUCCGAAUGCUUUCGGUACUGGCUUGUUUGUCCGUGUGUUUUGCCAGAGGCAGGCGGGUGCUCUUCACCGAGUGUCCGUUUGUGCUGGCAGGUUUACUUUGAAAAAAUUAGAGUGCUCAAAGCAAGCUCUCACGCUUGAAUAUUCGUGCAUGGAAUAAUAGAAUAGGAUGUCGUUUCUAUUUUGUUGGUUUUCGGAAAUCGACAUAAUGAUUAAUAGGGACAGUCGGGGGCAUUUGUAUUCAAACGACAGAGGUGAAAUUCUUGGACCGUUUGAAGACAAACUACUGCGAAAGCAUUUGCCAAGAAUGUUUUCAUUAAUCAAGAACGAAAGUUAGAGGUUCGAAGGCGAUUAGAUACCGCCCUAGUUCUAACCAUAAACGAUGCCAGCUAGCGAUCUGCAGGCGUUUUACUUUACGACCUUGCAGGGAGCUUCCGGGAAACCAAAGCUUGUGGGUUCCAGGGGAAGUAUGGUUGCAAAGCUGAAACUUAAAGGAAUUGACGGAAGGGCACCACCAGGAGUGGAGCCUGUGGCUUAAUUUGACUCAACACGGGAAAUCUCACCAGGCCCGGACACGAGAAGGAUUGACAGAUUGAUAGCUCUUUCUUGAUUUCGUGGGUGGUGGUGCAUGGCCGUUCUUAGUUGGUGGAGUGAUUUGUCUGGUUAAUUCCGAUAACGAACGAGACUCUGUCCUGCUAACUAGUGUCUGCUUCUUUUCUGAGCAGAUUAUUCUUCUUAGAGGGACUGGUAGCUCUUAGCUACACGAGAUUGAGCAAUA